rnacentral:rRNA from 1 species
AGCUCCAAUAGCGUAUAUUAAUGUUGCUGCAGUUAAAAAGCUCGUAGUUGGAUUUCUGACACUGGCGCACCUGGCCCGCCGCGGUUACGCGUGUGAGUGCCGGGUUUGCGCCUGUCACUUUUCUGUGUGAACCGGUGCUGCUCUUCACUGAGUGGUGCUCGGCCUAGCCAGAUUUUUUACUUUGAAAAAAUUAGAGUGUUUAAAGCAGGCGUUUUUUGCUAUGAAUACAUUAGCAUGGAAUAAUAAUUUAGGACUUCGGUUCUAUUUUGUUGGUUUCUAGGACUGAAGUAAUGAUUGAUAGGGACAGUUGGGGGUGCUAGUAUUCAGCGGCCAGAGGUGAAAUUCUCGGAUUCGCUGAAGACUAACUUAUGCGAAAGCAUUCACCAAGGAUGUCUUCU